rnacentral:rRNA from 1 species
UGGGGAAUAUUGCACAAUUGGCGCAAGCCUGAUGCAGCAACGCCGCGUGAACGAUGAAGGUCUUCGGAUCGUAAAGUUCUGUUGCAGGGGAAGAUAAUGACGGUACCCUGUGAGGAAGCCCCGGCUAACUACGUGCCAGCAGCCGCGGUAAUACGUAGGGGGCUAGCGUUAUCCGGAUUUACUGGGCGUAAAGGGUGCGUAGGUGGUCUUUCAAGUCGGUGGUUAAAGGCUACGGCUCAACCGUAGUUAGCCUCCGAAACUGGAAGACUUGAGUGCAGGAGAGGAAAGUGGAAUUCCCAGUGUAGCGGUGAAAUGCGUAGAUAUUGGGAGGAACACCAGUAGCGAAGGCGGCUUUCUGGACUGCAACUGACACUGAGGCACGAAAGCGUGGGUAGCAAACAGG